AGAUAAAAUCUACACACAUAAAUAAAUGUAUUAAUAAAUUACAGUUGGAUGUUUCUCUCAUGUGUCUUAUCGUAACUACCGCUCUAUAGACCAUAAUACUGAAUCUGUUUAGGAUUUCUACGUUAAAAAAUAUUGUUUAAUGUAUAUUAGCCAUUCAGAAUACCAAAGACAGUUUUUACAUAUUAAGUUCAGGCAAAAUUGAAAAAAUAAAAUUAUUACCUGCAGUAUAAAUGCAAAAUUAUGAGAUUAUCUUUAUAAUUGAACAAAUUACUUGUUCUCUUGGAGCUAUAUCAAUCAAAAUUCCACCCAAAUCUCUAUUUUUUGUUUCUUUCUGGAAAGGCACAGUUGUCUUACAGUCAUUACCUUGAAUUAAAACCACUAUUGAUGUAUUGGUAGAAAAAUAUAAGGAUUAUAAAGACAACAUGAGCCUCUUUCCCCAUUGAUUCCAAUUGAAGCAAUUCUAAAACUUAACCCUGGUAAGAUGGCCGCCAAGUGAUUCCAUCCUGGAAUGGCAAGUAUGAAUUACAUGUCAUAUCUAUUGUUCUAUAUCUAUGGGCACAGACACUACAUUAACACA